rnacentral:rRNA from 1 species
GGUAAAAAAAAGGUAAGCUACUAAGAGCGAAUGGUGGAUGCCUUGACUGGUAAAGGCGAUGAAGGACGUACUAGACUGCGAUAAGCUACGGGGAGCUGUCAAGAAGCUUUGAUCCGUAGAUUUCCGAAUGGGGCAACCCAAUGUAUAGAGAUAUACAUUACCUAUAUAGGAGCGAACGAGGGGAAUUGAAACAUCUUAGUACCCUCAGGAAAAGAAAUCAAUAGAGAUUGCGUCAGUAGCGGCGAGCGAAAGCGCAAGAGGGCAAACCCAGUGCUUGCACUGGGGGUUGUAGGACUGCAAUGUGCAAGAGCUGAGUUUAGCAGAACAUUCUGGAAAGUAUAGCCAUAGAGGGUGAUAGUCCCGUAUGCGAAAAACAAAGCUUAGCUAGCAGUAUCCUGAGUAGGGCGGGACACGAGAAAUCCUGUCUGAAUCCGGGUCGACCACGAUCCAACCCUAAAUACUAAUACCAGAUCGAUAGUGCACAAGUACCGUGAGGGAAAGGUGAAAAGAACUGAGGUGAUCAGAGUGAAAUAGAACCUGAAACCAUUUGCUUACAAUCAUUCAGAGCMCUAUGUAGCAAUACAGKGUGAUGGACUGCCUUUUGCAUAAUGAGCCUGCGAGUUGUGGUGUCUGGCAAGGUUAAGCAAACGCGAAGCCGUAGCGAAAGCGAGUCUGAAUAGGGCGCUUAGUCAGAUGCUGCAGACCCUGAAUGGGCUAGGGCAUACACCAAUGUACCAAACCCUAUCAAACUCCGAAUACCUUAUAUGUAAUCACAGCAGUCAGGCGGCGAGUGAUAAAAUCCGUCGUCAAGAGGGAAACAACCCAGACUACCAGCUAAGGUCCCUAAAUCUUACUUAAGUGGAAAACGAUGUGAAGUUACUUAAACAACCAGGAGGUUGGCUUAGAAGCAGCCAUCCUUUAAAGAAAGCGUAAUAGCUCACUGGUCUAGUGAUUUUGCGCGGAAAAUAUAACGGGGCUAAAGUAAGUACCGAAGCUGUAGACUUGCGCACAACUUAGAUUAUUUAAGUUUAGAAUAAGUGGUAGGAGAGCGUUCUAUUUGCGUCGAAGGUAUACCGGUAAGGAGUGCUGGAGCGAAUAGAAGUGAGCAUGCAGGCAUGAGUAGCGAUAAUUAAUGUGAGAAUCAUUAACGCCGUAAACCCAAGGUUUCCUACGCGAUGCUCGUCAUCGUAGGGUUAGUCGGGUCCUAAGUCGAGUCCGAAAGGGGUAGACGAUGGCAAAUUGGUUAAUAUUCCAAUACCAACAUUAGUGUGCGAUGGAAGGACGCUUAGGGCUAAGGGGGCUAGCGGAUGGAAGUGCUAGUCUAAGGUCGUAGGAGGUUAUACAGGCAAAUCCGUAUAACAAUACUCCGAGAACUGAAAGGCUUUUUGAAGUCUUCGGAUGGAUAGAAGAACCCCUGAUGCCGUCGAGCCAAGAAAAGUUUCUAAGUUUAGCUAAUGUUGCCCGUACCGUAAACCGACACAGGUGGGUGGGAUGAGUAUUCUAAGGCGCGUGGAAGAACUCUCUUUAAGGAACUCUGCAAAAUAGCACCGUAUCUUCGGUAUAAGGUGUGGUUAGCUUUGUAUUAGGAUUUACUCCGAAAGCAAGGAAACUUACAACAAAGAGUCCCUCCCGACUGUUUACCAAAAACACAGCACUCUGCUAACUCGUAAGAGGAUGUAUAGGGUGUGACGCCUGCCCGGUGCUCGAAGGUUAAUUGAUGGGGUUAGCAUUAGCGAAGCUCUUGAUCGAAGCCCGAGUAAACGGCGGCCGUAACUAUAACGGUCCUAAGGUAGCGAAAUUCCUUGUCGGUUAAAUACCGACCUGCAUGAAUGGCGUAACGAGAUGGGAGCUGUCUCAAAGAGGGAUCCAGUGAAAUUGUAGUGGAGGUGAAAAUUCCUCCUACCCGCGGCAAGACGGAAAGACCCCGUGGACCUUUACUACAGCUUGACACUGCUACUUGGAUAAGAAUGUGCAGGAUAGGUGGGAGGCUUUGAGUAUAUGACGCCAGUUGUAUAUGAGCCAUUGUUGAGAUACCACUCUUUCUUAUUUGGGUAGCUAACCAGCUUGAGUUAUCCUCAAGUGGGACAAUGUCUGGUGGGUAGUUUGACUGGGGCGGUCGCCUCCCAAAUAAUAACGGAGGCUUACAAAGGUUGGCUCAGAACGGUUGGAAAUCGUUCGUAGAGUAUAAAGGUAUAAGCCAGCUUAACUGCAAGACAUACAAGUCAAGCAGAGACGAAAGUCGGUCUUAGUGAUCCGGUGGUUCUGUGUGGAAGGGCCAUCGCUCAAAGGAUAAAAGGUACCCCGGGGAUAACAGGCUGAUCUCCCCCAAGAGCUCACAUCGACGGGGAGGUUUGGCACCUCGAUGUCGGCUCAUCGCAUCCUGGGGCUGGAGCAGGUCCCAAGGGUAUGGCUGUUCGCCAUUUAAAGCGGUACGCGAGCUGGGUUCAGAACGUCGUGAGACAGUUCGGUCCCUAUCUGCCGUGGGCGUAAGAAGAUUGAAGAGAUUUGACCCUAGUACGAGAGGACCGGGUUGAACAAACCACUGGUGUAGCUGUUGUUCUGCCAAGAGCAUCGCAGCGUAGCUAAGUUUGGAAAGGAUAAACGCUGAAAGCAUCUAAGCGUGAAGCCAACUCUAAGAUGAAUCUUCUCUAAGCUCUCUAGAAGACUACUAGUUUGAUAGGCUGGGUGUGUAAUGGAUGAAAGU